rnacentral:rRNA from 1 species
UACGUAGGGGGCGAGCGUUGUCCGGAAUCAUUGGGCGUAAAGGAGCGUGUAGGCGGACUGGAAGGUCUGGUGUGAAAGCCCGGGGCUCAACCCCGGAGGGUCACUGGAAACCAACAGUCUUGAAUCUGGAAGAGGAGAGUGGAAUUCCUGGUGUAGCGGUGGAAUGCGCAGAUAUCAGGAGGAACACCAAUGGCGAAGGCAGCUCUCUGGUACAUGUUGACGCUGAGACGCGAAAGCGUGGGGAGCGAACAGG